rnacentral:sRNA from 1 species
CGCCCCGCCCGAACGCUGCGGUGGCCGCCCACUCGUGCAGGUAACUCACGAUGCUGGAACUUCUGCGGCCCUAAGCACUGGAGAUGACCCUUGAGGGAGGUUUCACUCUGCAGAGAUCUCUCCCCCGUCGCGUGGCGGGUGGGAACACG